rnacentral:tRNA from 1 species
UUAAAAAUAAGCUAAAUUAAGCUCUUGGGUUCAUACCCCAAUUAUAAAGGAUACCCCUUUUUUUUAAA